CCGGGGUAGGUGUACAAUAGGCAAAUCCGUUGUAUAAUCCGAAGACGUGAUGUGGAGCGAAAUAAAGUAGUGAAGCGUGUGAGCCAUGUGCCGAGAAAAGCUGCUAUUGUGUAAUGCGUGCCCGUACCGUAAACCGACACAGGUGGAUGAGGAGAGAAUCCUAAGGCCGACGGAAGAAGCAUUGUUAAGGAAUUCGGCAAAAUGACCCCGUAACUUCGGGAGAAGGGGUGCCUGCGAGAGCAGGCCGCAGAGAAUAGGCUCAAGCAACUGUUUAGCAAAAACACAGGUCUAUGCGAAACCGAAAGGUGAAGUAUAUGGGCUGACGCCUGCCCGGUGCUGGAAGGUUAAGAGGAGAGGUUAGCGUAUCGAAGCCUUGAAUUUAAGCCCCAGUAAACGGCGGCCGUAACGAUAACGGUCCUAAGGUAGCGAAAUUCCUUGUCGGGUAAGUUCCGACCCGCACGAAAGGCGUAAUGAUUGAGCACUGUCUCGACAAUGCAUCCGGUGAAAUUGAAGUACCAGUGAAGAUGCUGGUUACCCGCGCCAGGACGGAAAGACCCCAUGGAGCUUUACUCCAGUUUGAUACUGGGAUUCGGUACUGCAUGUACAGGAUAGGUGGGAGACGAAGAAGGAUGGACGCCAGUCUGUCCGGAGUCGCUGUUGGGAUACCACCCCUGUAGUACUGGGUUUCUAACCAGUUGCCAUGAACUGGCAAUGGGACAAUGUCAGGCGGGGAGUUUGACUGGGGCGGUCGCCUCCGAAAGGGUAUCGGAGGCGCUCAAAGGUUCCCUCAGAAUGGUUGGAAACCAUUUGAAGAGUGCAAAGGCAGAAGGGAGCUUGACUGCGACACCGACGGGUGGAGCAGGUACGAAAGUAGGACUUAGUGAUCCGGUGGUAUAAAGUGGGAUUGCCAUCGCUCAACGGAUAAAAGCUACCCUGGGAUAACAGGCUUAUCACUCCCAAGAGUUCACAUCGACGGAGUGGUUUGGCACCUCGAUGUCGGCUCAUCGCAUCCUGGGGCUGUAGCAGGUCCCAAGGGUUGGGCUGUUCGCCCAUUAAAGCGGUACGCGAGCUGGGUUCAGAACGUCGUGAGACAGUUCGGUCCCUAUCCGGCGCGGGCGGAGGAUAUUUGAGAGGAGCUGUCCUUAGUACGAGAGGACCGGGAUGGACGGACCACUGGUGUAUCUGUUGUCGACCAACGGCAUGGCAGAGUAGCCAAGUCUGGAAGGGAUAAACGCUGAAGGCAUCUAAGCGUGAAGCCCCCCUCAAGAUGAGAUAUCCCUCCUUCGGGAGUAAGACCCCUUGAAGACUACAAGGUAGAUAGGGCAGAGGUGGAAGCAUGGCAACAUGUGGAGCUGACUGUUACUAAUAGGUCGAGGGCUUAAU
rnacentral:rRNA from 1 species